UACGUAGGUGGCAAGCGUUGUCCGGAAUUAUUGGGCGUAAAGCGCGCGCAGGCGGUCCUUUAAGUCUGAUGUGAAAUCCCACGGCUCAACCGUGGAAGGUCAUUGGAAACUGGGGGACUUGAGUACAGAAGAGGAAAGCGGAAUUCCAAGUGUAGCGGUGAAAUGCGUAGAGAUUUGGAGGAACACCAGUGGCAAAGGCGGCUUUCUGGUCUGUAACUGACGCUGAGGCGCGAAAGCGUGGGGAGCAAACAGG
rnacentral:rRNA from 1 species